UGAGGAAUAUUGCACAAUGGGCGCAAGCCUGAUGCAGCAACGCCGCGUGAGGGAGGAAGGCCCUCGGGUCGUAAACCUCUUUUCUGGGGGAAGAGCAAGGACGGUACCCCAGGAAUCAGUCUCGGCUAACUACGUGCCAGCAGCCGCGGUAAAACGUAGGAGGCGAGCGUUAUCCGGAUUUACUGGGCGUAAAGCGCACGCAGGCGGUCCCGCCAGUCGGACGUGAAAGCUCCUGGCUCAACUAGGAGAGGUCGUUCGAUACUGUGGGGCUUGAGGUUGGGAGAGGGGUGUGGAAUUCCCGGUGUAGUGGUGGAAUGCGUAGAUAUCGGGAGGAACACCUGUGGCGAAAGCGGCACCCUGGCCCACACCUGACGCUGAGGUGCGAAAGCGUGGGGAGCAAACAGG
rnacentral:rRNA from 2 species